UUUAACAAUUUGAAUGAACAAGUCAUCGAUUCACUUACCAGUUAUUGUUUACUUGAAAAUACUAUGGCAAGAAGGUGAUAACAACUCAUAAGUAUAUAAAAGACUAAACUACCUUUUUUGAUGGAAGCAAAUUUUGGAAAUAUUUUGCUUCUCUAAAAAUAU